CGAGACUGCGGGCAGGGGCCCGCCGCGCCCAUCCCGAUGGCUGGAGGCGUCUGAGGGGCGGACGGAGGCGGCGGCGGCGGCGGCGGCGGGAGCGGGCGCGGGCGGCGAGUGGGGAGCGGGGUCGGGAGUGGAGCAGCCGCCGCGGCGGGAGUGGACCGAGCCUUGCCGGUACGCACCUGCCCGCAGCGCCCGCGGAGCGCGCAGCGCGGCCCGAGCGCGACGACCUCCCGAGCAGCGGCCGAGGCGGCGGUGUGGGCGCGUCAGGCCGCGACGAGGGCGCUGAGACAAGUUUACAUGUAUUGGAGACCAGACCAGAAGCCCUUCUGAAUUAAGGUAAUUUUGAUAUAUUUGAUCCUCUUCAGUUUUAGAAAGAUAAUAUAUAAAUUUCUUCAGCAUUUGUUUUUUUAAAUAGCUGGUUUGUUUGUUUUUAAAGAGGCAGGGUUUUGCCAUGUUGCUCAGACUGGAUUCUAACUCCGGGGAUCAAGGGGUUCUCUUAACCUCAGCCUCCUGAGUAGCUGAGGCUGUAGACAUACGCCAGCAUGCCUGGCCAAUACUCUGGUUUUUGUUACAGUUUUUUUCUAUCUCUGUUAAGCCAAAGUUGGUUUUCAAAACAAUUUGAUCCUCAAAAAAACCUUCCAUUUAGUGUUGAGCAAGAAGGUUUAGGGUCCCCGUGAUGAGGAUUUAUAUUUUGAAUGAGAGCGGUACUUCUCUAGCUUUUUUCAUUAGAAAGCAGGAGAGCCCUUUUUUCAAAUCAAAUCUUAGUUGAAAUACCAAUAUAUGGCUGGGUGUGGUGGCUCACAUUUGUAAUCCCAGCACUUUGGGAGGCCAAGUCAGGUGGACCACGAGGUCAGGAGAUCGAGACCAUCGUGGCUAACAUGGUGAAACAUUGUCUCUACUAAAAAUACGAAAAAUUAGCUGGGCGUGGUGCAGGCUCCUGUAGUCCCAGCUUCUCGGGAGGCUGAGGCAGGAAAAUGAGGUGAACCUGGGAGGAAGAGCUUUCAGUGAGCUGAGAUCACGCCACUGCACUCUAGCCUGGGGGGGACAGAGCAAGAAUCCGUCUCAAAAAAAAAAAAAAAAAGGAAGAAAUACCAGUAUACAAUAUAGAAAAAAGUAAGGGGGGCCAGGCACGGUGGCUCACGCCUGUAAUCCCAGCGCUUAGGGAGGCCAAGGCAGGCGGAUCACGAAGUCAAGAGAUUGAGACCAUCCUGGCCAACAUGGGGAAACCCUGUCACUAACUAAAAAUACAAAAACUAGCCAGGCGUGGUGGCAUGCACCUGUAGUCCCAGCUACUUGGGAGGCUUGAGGCAGGAGAAUCACUUCAACCCAGGAGGU
rnacentral:lncRNA from 1 species